rnacentral:tRNA from 1 species
UCUAGUGUAGCUAAGAAAUAAGUGCUGGGUUCUUACCUCAGUGAUGUGGCUUUAUUGUCAUUGCUAGGG